GGCGAGCUAGCUGGGGCCCCGCCCCCCUCCGGUUCCAUGCUGGCUUUGAUUCUAAAGCGUGCCUGCCGCCCCCGUUCCCUCCCUAGUCGGUGCUUUGGCUCCCUUCACAAAGGCAUGGCAUGCCCUUUAUAAAAUGCAAAAUGUGCUGUGCGGGUUAGUGUGCGCAGAUAGCGUCUUUCCGGCCCCUGUUCCUCAGCCCUUGAACCCCACCAAGCCCUUUCGCUCCCUGCCACUACAGCUCAGGAUCUCAGAGACUGGGUGCACGUGGGCUCGCUUGGAGAGACGUGGUCUGUUUGGAUCACUCCAAGAGAUUCUGGUACCUGCUAGACAAGAAAGGAGAAGAGUAUCCCCUUGAAGUCUUCUUCCUAGUGGGAAGAACAAGCAAUAAGCAGAGAAAACAUCAAGUCUCCGAGUAUGGAAGAGUGGGCCUGAGACCCUUCAGGAAACCCAUGAGCACAAAACUGCAGUCUUACACUGUGGAACAACUUUGUAUCCCGGGGACAUGGUAACCAGCUCUGCAAGUGUUCUAGUGUUUACCCAACAACUAGCCACCAAACGCGAUUCUCAGCCAGGUCCUUGUCACAAAAUGGCACUCAGCAUUGUCAUGAAGAUACCAAGAAGGCCUUGUCAUUUGCCUUCUGUCUCUUCUCAUUGGUGUACUAGAGUUUUCCAGAAUUCAUAGAACUUGUAUCAUAUACUGACAGAGGAAAGCAUAUAUCAAAAUAUAGCUGUCUACUGGCUAACCCAGAUGUUAAGAGACUUGAAAACCUAUGCAAUACCUCACUUGCUGUGAAGCUUUUGUUUCAAGUUAUUUUUCAUAAAAUGAUAUUCCCAUGAAUAUCAUGUUCAAUUACGUUUUACAUUUAAAAUGAUUUUUAAAAUCUAUUGAAUAACUUGAAAAAAAUCUUUCUCUAGCUGUAUAAGUAGUUAUAUAUGUUAUAAACAAAGCUCUUUGGGUAAUUAAUUAUAUAUACAUUUUUUAAAAAAAGAUUUAUUUAUUUAUUAUGUAUACAGCAUGUAUCCCUGCAGGCCAGAAGAGGGCACCAAAUCUCAUUACAGAUGGUUGUGAGCCACCAUGUGGUUGCUGGGAAUUGAACUCAGGACCUCUAGAAGAGCAGUCAGUGCUCUUAACCACUGAGCCAUCUCUCCAGCCCUUGAAUAUACAAUUUUUAAGGGAGAGAAUCUUGCUAUGUUUUCCAGGCUGUCUCUGAUCUCCUGGGUUUAUUGACCCUCUUGCCUCAGCUUCUUAAAUACCUGGGACUGCAGGAGAUGCCAUACUGCUUGGUGACAAUAAUUUUUAAGUGGAGAAAGGUCCUGAGAUUAAACUGAGGAUCUCAGUAAACACUGGAAGAAGACAAUCAAAGGUUGCUAAGGGAGGGACGCCACAUUCUUUGAGGUAGAAGGAUAGGAUUAUGAUCCUUCUCAGUUUUUUGUGUCCAUCUCUGAAAACAUGAUUUCCAGGGAAUUGUGGAGGUUAUCUUCUCCCACUUGAAUGAGAGGUAGAGUACAAUGCACACUAGAUUAAAAAUAUGAAGUUAAAUAAGCAUGUAAUGUACUUAAAAUAUUAAGCAGUCAAAAUGUAAGCUUGAAAAUUAUUCUUAAUAUUGGUCUCUCUCACCAAUCAUUCAUACCUGGGACUGUGAAACACAAGAAAAUUUAAACUUUAAAAUCUAUUUCACAACUAGAAAAUAGAAAUAAUAGACACCACAUUACUCUAUACACAGAAUUGCUACUCAGGGUUGUGGUGAGGUUCAUGAGAUUUGAAUUAAUGCAAAUAAAGAGUAUUUAUUGUAUGCAAAUAAAGAGUAAUAUUGUGCUGGAUAGUUUUAUGUCAACUUGACAUCAGCUAAAGUCAUUUGAGAAG